UACGUAGGUGGCAAGCGUUGUCCGGAAUUAUUGGGCGUAAAGCGCGCGCAGGUGGUUUCUUAAGUCUGAUGUGAAAGCCCACGGCUCAACCGUGGAGGGUCAUUGGAAACUGGGGAACUUGAGUGCAGGAGAGAAGAGUGGAAUUCUACGUGUAGCGGUGAAAUGCGUAGAGAUGUGGAGGAACACCAGUGGCGAAGGCGACUCUGUGGCCUGUAACUGACACUGAGGCGCGAAAGCGUGGGGAGCAAACAGG
rnacentral:rRNA from 1 species